rnacentral:rRNA from 1 species
AAAGGAAUAGACGGGGACCCGCACAAGCAGCGGAGCAUGUUGUUUAAUUCGAAGCAACGCGAAGAACCUUACCAAAUCUUGACAUCCCUCUGCCGUGCACUGUAGUGGUGCAUUUCCCUUCGGGGACAGAGGAGACAGGUGGUGCAUGGUUGUCGUCAGCUCGUGUCGUGAGAUGUUGGGUUAAGUCCCGCAACGAGCGCAACCCCUAUUUCUAGUUGCCAUCAGGUAAAGCUGGGCACUCUAGAGAGACUGCCGGAGACAAUCCGGAGGAAGGUGGGGAUGAUGUCAAAUCAUCAUGCCCUUUAUGAUUUGGGCUACAAACGUGCUACAAUGGUCGGUACAACGGGCAGCGAACCGGUAACGGGGAGCCAAUCUCAAAAAGCCGAUCUCAGUUCGGAUUGAGGGCUGCAACUCGCCCUCAUGAAGUUGGAGUUGCUAGUAAUCGCGAAUCAGCAUGUCGCGGUGAAUGCGUUCCCGGGUCUUGUACACACCGCCCGU